CCUUCAUCCUGAUACUACAAUAUUAACAGUUUCCAUGCCAACACAUCAGCCUCCACUAACCAAUAACACAGUGUCAACAGUCUCCACGCUGAUACUUUUACCGUAUGCAUUUCCCAAAACCUGCGUUAUUCACUUUGACCUAUCUUAGUUGAGUACCAGCAAUUGAAAUGGUCGUGCCUGCAUUAUCCAUUUCAUAACUCCCAUGUGGCACAUGCAAGGUUAAGGGGCCGUAAAGGAAGCUUUG